rnacentral:ncRNA from 2 species
AAUAAAUUAAGAAAUUUUACAGAUAUAUCGCUGGAAAAUGGCCAGCAGUCUCUACCGCGCCCCAAAAGUCGUGACUAUCCGUGAAUGUACGCUUUUU